GGCUCCUUGUAAAAAAUAAAUAAGGAGUCGGACCUGCCCGGUGAAUUUUUUUAACGGCCGCGGUACUCUGACCGUGCAAAGGUAGCAUAAUCAUUUGCCUUAUAAUUGAAGGCUAGUAUGAAUGGUUUGACAAGAAUAUAGCUGUCUCUUUUUGAUUUUAUAGAAUUUUAUUUAAAGGUGAAGAAGCCUUUUUUACAUUAAAAGACAAGAAGACCCUAUCGAGCUUAAAAGAAAUAAUAGAGUUAAUAUAGUUGAUAAAAUUAGAAAAUUUCGCUGUUAACAAUUUUAGUUGGGGCGACUGAGGAACAUAAAAAGCUUCCUUUAACAACUUAAAUAUUUACAAAUAUUGAUCCAAAGUUUUUGAUUAAAGAAAUUAGUUACCGUAGGGAUAACAGCAUUAUCUUUUUUAAGAGCUCUUAUCGAAAAAAAGGUUUGUGACCUCGAUGUUGGACCAGAAUAUCCUAAAGAUGCAGCAGUCUUUAAGGGUUGGUCUGUUCGACCAUUAAAAUUCUACG
rnacentral:rRNA from 1 species